rnacentral:lncRNA from 1 species
AAUGAUGCUGAAAAGAUGAUGAAUACAUGCUCAAAAAGUGAUGAAAUACAGAUUUAUCAAAUCCCCCAAACUUGGUCUUUGCUUGCCCUCAAGCAAAGCAAAAAGAAACAAAGUGGAAGAGAGGUUUGAAAAUGGGGUCCCAGAACCUGUAACUUGCAAGAUAGAGCAGUUAAAAUCAAUGUCCUAGUUAUUAAGUCUUUG